rnacentral:sRNA from 1 species
UCACCUGUUCCCGGGUCCUGCGUUACGCU